GGGGUCUCCUAGGAAGAGCCAUAGGGGAUGGGAGAGGUCAAGAAGCUGGGGGUCAGCAGUCUUAAUCCCUGAGGAAGUAGGUGCUGGACUGGGUUCCUGGGGGGAUGGUUGGGAGGACAGAUGGGAGAGGGAUGGCCCUGUUUUGGGAGGUGGAGAAAGUUGGGGGAGGGGUGCGGUAGAUGCUUGGUUCCUUGAGGGGGUGUAGGAGGAGAGCUGGGGACUAUGUGUCUGGAGGGCCAGAUGGUGUUUACCAAUAAGAUGAGCAGCAGGUUUGAGGGUGCCUUGUGCGAAGUGCUUCUGAGGGUGCUGAUAGGUAGUCCGGGCAGCUGAGGGUGAGAUGCCAACACCAGGAAGCCCCUAGGGGAGAAGACGGACGAGGAUGGCUCUAGGGCCCAAAGAUGGGCUGGGCCACCCCUGCUGCCCCGUUCUCGUUCUCCUGCUGCCUCACCUGGGCCUCAGGCGGCAGGGCCAGCAGCAGCCCCAGAAGGAGGAGGAGGAGGGGGGCGCUGCACACCCGCAGGAGGUAGAGCCUUCCAGGUGGUGUCAUGGGGAGAACCUGCGGGGGGGGAGAGAGACAGUGAGUGGGGCGGGGCAAGGUGCAGAUGACGGCCUCCUGCCUGCCCGCGGAGAGACAGCCAUCUGAGAGACAGGGCAAAACGGAUAAGAGAAGGGGACAAGAUGCAGUCAGGGAAACCCCAAGCAUCAGCAGAAGGCCAUGCUGCUCACUUCACUACCAACCCAGCCUUCUACCCCUGGUCAAGCCCACCCACCAUGGCCACCAAGCACCUCUUCACUCCGGGGACAGAGGAAGAAUGAAGAAUAAAUUUAAUCACUGUUAACAGUUUGCUGUGGUCCCUUCCAGUCCUGUCUUGGUGUGUAUAAAUGCAUAUAUGGGCGUCUUUUUUUCAGAGGUAUGUGACCAUGCUAUUUCUAUUGUUUGGCAACUUGCUUUUUUCACUUAACGUCUCAUUUGUAUUUUUCCACAAGAGUAUACACAGCCUACCUCAUUCUUUUUUAUGACUGUGUAGUGUUCCGCUAUGCGUAUGAAACAAACAUCUCCCACCUCCAGUCAACAGACUUUGUUUCCAAAAAUGUUCAGCCUCCUACAUAUAUCUCUGUGGACAAGGAGUGGGGUAGAUUCUCGGAAGUGGAAUUUCUGAGUCAAAGAACGUGCGAUUUUACUGAAUUGCUCUCAAAUUUGUGUCAACAUACGCCCUGAUACAGAACAUGAGUGCCUGUGUUGUCCUUUACUAAAGUUGAGUAUCACCAACCCACCCUUUUAAUUUUGCUCAUCUGAUAGAGGAAAAGAUUUCAUUGUUUUUUUUUUCCUUUUUUAAUGUGUUUUGGCCCACUCUUUCUUCCUUUCUCUUUCUUUCUUUCCUUGUGUCCUUCUUUUUUAAAAGAUUUUGUUUUUCAGUAAUCUCUACACCCAACAUUGGCUUGAACUCAUGACCCUGAGAUCAGGAGUCACAAUCUCUACCAAGUGAGCCCGUCAGAUGCCCCUGGCUCUUUAUCUCUUUUGUGAAUGACUUGUUCAUGUUCUUCAUCUACUUUUCCCCUGGAAAUUAUACAUGUAGACAUGAGAGCUCUUUAUACUUUGUAGUACACUUUGUAUACGUUUAUACCUUGUGCCAAGUAUUUGUAAAUAUUUCCUCCCAUCCUUAGAAAGGUUUUAUGCAGUUAAAUAUGUAUCAAUAUUUUCUCUCAUUGCUUUUGGCUUUACGUCAUCCUUAGAUAGGCUUUCCCCACUCUAAGAUUAUAAAAAUAUUCUCUAGUGUUUUUUUUCUACUAAUUUUUAUUUUUAGAAAUCCAAACAAAUUUAAAAAGUAUAGUACAAUAAGCGCCCCCACUCCUCCCACAAGGUAUGUUACUGUUCUGUCAUUUUUGCAACAUUAUUUUGUAUUAAAGAAAUAAAGUAUCAUAGGUAAAGUUAAA